UACGGAGGAUCCGAGCGUUAUCCGGAUUUAUUGGGUUUAAAGGGUGCGUAGGUGGAUUGGUAAGUCAGUGGUGAAAGUUUGCAGCUUAACUGUAAGAUUGCCGUUGAAACUGCCGGUCUUGAGUGCAAAUGAGGUAGGCGGAAUGCGUCGUGUAGCGGUGAAAUGCUUAGAUAUGACGCAGAACUCCGAUUGCGAAGGCAGCUUACUGGGAUGCAACUGACGCUGAGGCACGAAAGCGUGGGUAUCAAACAGGAUUAGA
rnacentral:rRNA from 1 species